rnacentral:rRNA from 1 species
UUAGUGGAAGCGUCUGGAAAGGCGCGCGAUACAGGGUGACAGCCCCGUACACAAAAAUGCACAUGCUGUGAGCUCGAUGAGUAGGGCGGGACACGUGGUAUCCUGUCUGAAUAUGGGGGGACCAUCCUCCAAGGCUAAAUACUCCUGACUGACCGAUAGUGAACCAGUACCGUGAGGGAAAGGCGAAAAGAACCCCGGCGAGGGGAGUGAAAAAGAACCUGAAACCGUGUACGUACAAGCAGUGGGAGCACGCUUAGGCGUGUGACUGCGUACCUUUUGUAUAAUGGGUCAGCGACUUAUAUUCUGUAGCAAGGUUAACCGAAUAGGGGAGCCGAAGGGAAACCGAGUCUUAACUGGGCGUUAAGUUGCAGGGUAUAGACCCGAAACCCGGUGAUCUAGCCAUGGGCAGGUUGAAGGUUGGGUAACACUAACUGGAGGACCGAACCGACUAAUGUUGAAAAAUUAGCGGAUGACUUGUGGCUGGGGGUGAAAGGCCAAUCAAACCGGGAGAUAGCUGGUUCUCCCCGAAAGCUAUUUAGGUAGCGCCUCGUGAAUUCAUCUCCGGGGGUAGAGCACUGUUUCGGCAAGGGGGUCAUCCCGACUUACCAACCCGAUGCAAACUGCGAAUACCGGAGAAUGUUAUCACGGGAGACACACGGCGGGUGCUAACGUCCGUCGUGAAGAGGGAAACAACCCAGACCGCCAGCUAAGGUCCCAAAGUCAUGGUUAAGUGGGAAACGAUGUGGGAAGGCCCAGACAGCCAGGAUGUUGGCUUAGAAGCAGCCAUCAUUUAAAGAAAGCGUAAUAGCUCACUGGUCGAGUCGGCCUGCGCGGAAGAUGUAACGGGGCUAAACCAUG